rnacentral:rRNA from 1 species
AUGAAGGCCUCCAUCAAGUUCCGCGACGACGACCGGCCGCUGCUGCGCGCCAAGGUGCCCAUCGGCGUGCUCGGGCUGCCGUUCCUCUCCGGCGUCUCGGCCGGCGGCGAUGCCGAGGACCUCCGCUUCGACCUCUCCACCGCCUUCCCCACCGGCCCGGGGCUCCGCCUCUCCUACCGCCCCAACGACCCGCUCCAGCCCUUCGCGCUCUCCAUCCGCACGGGCCUCGGCGCGCUCGGCUCCCCCGUCCGCGCCCCCCUCGCGCUCUCCGCGGAGUUCAACCUCCUCUCCUCCAACCCGCCCGCCUUCUCGCUCCUCUUCAAGCCCCGGCUCGGCGACUUCUCCCUCGCCAACUCCGUCCGCUCCCCGCCCGUCCCCGACACCCCCGCGCUGCCGCCGCCCCACAAGCUGGCCGACCUCACCAACGGCGACGCCCACGACCAUGAGGGCCACAAGGAGUUCUCCCUCAACGGGAACGGGUUCGCGGCGGACGUCACGGCCGCCGGGACCACCGGCGGAGGGGUGGGCAUGCUGCUGUCCGGGAUGCGCCUCACGACCAGGAGCAUGCUGCCGCUGUGGAACAGGGCGAGCCUGAGGUUCCAGUGGGGGCUGCGUGUGCCACCAGAGCUGAAGGCCGCGCUCGCUGACGAUGGAUACGGGCGGAAGGCGGGGAGCUUGGCCGUCAGCAAGCUGCCGCUGCUCGUCAUGAACAAGAUCACAAUUGAGCACACACCACGCCGGCAUCCGAAGUCUGAAGAGGACAAGAAGGGGAAGAGCGCGCCUAUAGCCCAGGGAGAGGAAUUCUCAUUGAUGAAGAGGCAGCUGGAGGCCCUGAACGAUGAGAGCAUCAUGCUGCGGCACACUGUGGAGGGCCUGCGCGCUGAGAUCGGGGCCAGCCGAGCUAUCUCAGUUCCCAGCAAGGGCGACGCUCGAAGGAUGCCGGCAACGUCGCCACCUCUGCAAAAUCCUUUCCCUGUGAAGCCUGAUCUCCAUGGAAAUGGGAAGGAGCUGGUGGCCAGUGGACCGAAUGAUGCCAGCGAGGAGCUGAAGAAGGCACUCGAGGCCCGGAGGAAGUGA